CCAAGCUGGUCCUGAACCGCUAGCCUCAAAUAAUCCUCCUGCCUGAACCUACCAAAGCAUUGGUAUUACAAGUUUGACCCACCGUGAUCAGUCCAGAGUAGGAAAUGGAAUCUUAACAACUAUCACAUGAGCUUUGAGGGUAUCCUUCUCCAGAUGAGCCUUCAGUUGAGACCUCAGCCUUGGACGUCAUCUGAAUCUGGAUUCCUGACCCAGAGCAACUGAAUUUUAUGGAACCUUGUAUUCUGUUGAAUACCAGAAUUAUAUCAGCAAUCCCAAAGUCACCAAAUGG
rnacentral:lncRNA from 1 species